UUUUGUCAAAGAUUUGGGAAAUUAAUAUUAUCAAAAUUUUAUCCGAUAACGAGAUAAAAAUCCUUUCUCAGAAAAUUUUAUUUACUGUUCUGUGGAGAUACAGAUUAAUGGAACCGCAGCACGCUAAAAUUUACUUUAGAGUGUAUGUAACCAGGUGUCCUAUAAGCGCAAGCACUGAAACCAAAUUAAUGUAACGAAAUAUCUAAUAUACGUUCCACGGUUGGCUAACUGGCUACCCUAAAAUUGCGUUUUAGAUAUUUGGUCAGAAGCCAAGAAUCACAGCUACACAGACAGAACCGGUAAACACCCACUUUUAAUUAAAUAACGCGACCCAGCAACGUGUG
rnacentral:lncRNA from 1 species